rnacentral:tRNA from 1 species
GCCUAGCUAGCUCAUUCAGUAGAGCAUGAGACUCCUAAUCUCAGGGUCGUGGGUUCUAGCCCCAGCUUGGGCG